GACGAACGCUGGCGGCGUGCUUAACACAUGCAAGUCGAGCGGUAAGGCCCUUUCGGGGGUACACGAGCGGCGAACGGGUGAGUAACACGUGGGUGACCUGCCCUCAGCUCUGGGAUAAGCCUGGGAAACUGGGUCUAAUACUGGAUAUGACUCCACGGUGCAUGUCGUGGGGUGGAAAGCCUUGUGCGGCUGAGGAUGGGGCCCGCGGCCUAUCAGCUUGUUGGUGGGGUGAGGCCUACCAAGGCGACGACGGGUAGCCGGCCUGAGAGGGCGACCGGCCACACUGGGACUGAGACACGGCCCAGACUCCUACGGGAGGCAGCAGUGGGGAAUCUUGCGCAAUGGGCGAAAGCCUGACGCAGCGACGCCGCGUGAGGG
rnacentral:rRNA from 1 species